GGAAAUCAAAGAUGAUUAAUUGAUUAAUGUUUUAAAGCAGAGAUGAUUUGCUAAACAGCAAGUAAAUACCAAAUUUCAUCGCAGGUUAAUGCAUUAAAAUAUAGGUGAAGCCGAAACAUUCCCCCGGCCGUGGCAGCAUUGACAUCGCGAUGGAAAUGAUUGACAAUAUAAUACAUGUGUCGAUCAACUCCGGAUUGUGUAAUUGCGUUUUCAUAAUUAAUUAUUUAAAAAUGUAAUGUGUUGAAUCUAACGAAUUAUUUUGUGAAGCGGCAAGAUGACAAUUACGUUUUUUUUUUUGAAAUUUUAAUAAUUGGUGUUGCUAUUACUGCUAUUGCUAGCACGCUGUUGUCAUUAAAUUUUGAAAGUGCAGAAUACGAAGCCGUUUUAAAAUGAUUUAUAUAAGGCUACUCGUUCCAGUGAUGCUUUCCAGUUAAAUGAGUUAAAGCAGGGAUUAGUAAUUGUGAUGACUGGUGAUAGGUAUGUGGAUAAAUGCUGAAAACAUGCUGGCAUGUGAGUGAACGCUACUGCUGCUGAUUUGUUGACUGCAUUUGAUGAUGUUCGCUAUGUUGAUAGUCGGUGGCUAUGCGAACAUAAAUUAGUGAACGAUGAGUCUUUGUAUAUGUGAAUGAUGCUGGGUUCCGUUGGAAUCGCCUUUGAACAUCGUUGGUAACUAAUAGUGUGUAAAUUGGUAACUUAAAGAUUUAGUAGUCGUUCCAAAAAGUUGAUCUUAUAUUGUUUCUGCAUUUAGGCCUUUCCUAAAGUCGCUUUGUAUUCUUUUAGGUUUUAUAUGAUGUCACUUGAAACGAUAAGAUAAAAAAAAGGAAGUGAAGGAAAAGAU